rnacentral:rRNA from 1 species
GACGUAGGGUGCGAGCGUUGUCCGGAUUUAUUGGGCGUAAAGAGCUCGUAGGCGGCUCGUCGCGUCGACCGUGAAAACCCGCAGCUUAACUGCGGGCUUGCGGUUGAUACGGGCGGGCUAGAGUUCGGUAGGGGAGACUGGAAUUCCUGGUGUAGCGGUGAAAUGCGCAGAUAUCAGGAGGAACACCGGUGGCGAAGGCGGGCCUCUGGGCCGAUACUGACGCUGAGGAGCGAAAGCGUGGGGAGCGAACAGG